AGCGAACGCUGGCGGCAGGCCUAACACAUGCAAGUCGAACGAACUCUUCGGAGUUAGUGGCGGACGGGUGAGUAACACGUGGGAACGUGCCUUUUGGUUCGGAAUAACUCAGGGAAACUUGUGCUAAUACCGAAUGUGCCCUUCGGGGGAAAGAUGUAUCGCCAUUAGAGCGGCCCGCGUCUGAUUAGCUAGUUGGUGAGGGAACGGCUCACCAAGGCGACGAUCAGUAGCUGGUCUGAGAGGAUGACCAGCCACACUGGGGCUGAGACACGGCCCAGACUCCUACGGGAGGCAGCAGUGGGGAAUCUUGCGCAAUGGGCGAAAGCCUGACGCAGCCAUGCCGCGUGAAUGAUGAAGGUCUUAGGAUUGUAAAAUUCUUUCACCGGGGACGAUAAUGACGGUACCCGGAGAAGAAGCCCCGGCUAACUUCGUG
rnacentral:rRNA from 1 species